rnacentral:rRNA from 1 species
GUUAAAAGCUCGUAGUGAACUUGGCCUGGCUGGCCGUUCCGCCUCAUCGCGUGCACUGUCCGGCCGGGCUUUUCCUCUGGAAACCUCAAUCCCCUCCCUGGGGGGGGUCGGGAAACCGGAAUUUUUCUUUGAAAAAAAUUGGAGGUUUCAAGCCGGCCUUUGGUUGAAAACCUUAGCCAGGGAUAAUUAAAUUGGGCGUUGGGUUUUUAUUUGGUGGGUUUUUGGGACGGCGCUAAGGAUUACUGGGACUAUUGGGGGCCUCCGUUAUCCAAUGUUCGAGGGGGAAAUUUUGGAAUUUAUGAAGGAUAAAUUAUUGGAAAACCUUUUCCCAGGAAGUUUUCCUUUAUCCAAGAACGAAAGUUAGGGGAUCGAAGACGAUCAGAUACCGUCGUAGUCUUAACCAUAAACUAUGCCGACUAGGGAUCGGGCGAUGUUAUUUUUUUGACUCGCUCGGCACCUUA